ACCUGGCUGGCUCAGUCAGGAGAGCAUGUGACUCUUGAUCUUGGGGUCAUGAGUUUGAGCCCCAUGUUGGGUG
rnacentral:tRNA from 1 species